rnacentral:rRNA from 1 species
UGGGGAAUUUUGGACAAUGGGCGAAAGCCUGAUCCAGCAAUGCCGCGUGUGUGAAGAAGGCCUUCGGGUUGUAAAGCACUUUUGUCCGGAAAGAAAUCCUUGGCUCUAAUACAGUCGGGGGAUGACGGUACCGGAAGAAUAAGCACCGGCUAACUACGUGCCAGCAGCCGCGGUAAUACGUAGGGUGCAAGCGUUAAUCGGAAUUACUGGGCGUAAAGCGUGCGCAGGCGGUUUGCUAAGACCGAUGUGAAAUCCCCGGGCUCAACCUGGGAACUGCAUUGGUGACUGGCAGGCUAGAGUAUGGCAGAGGGGGGUAGAAUUCCACGUGUAGCAGUGAAAUGCGUAGAGAUGUGGAGGAAUACCGAUGGCGAAGGCAGCCCCCUGGGCCAAUACUGACGCUCAUGCACGAAAGCGUGGGGAGCAAACAGGAUUAGAUACCCUGGUAGUCCACGCCCUAAACGAUGUCAACUAGUUGUUGGGGAUUCAUUUCCUUAGUAACGUAGCUAACGCGUGAAGUUGACCGCCUGGGGAGUACGAUCGCAAGAUUAAAACUCAAAGGAAUUGACGGGGUCAUAGCUGUUUCCU